CUACGGGAGGCAGCAGUAGGGAAUUUUCCGCAAUGGGCGAAAGCCUGACGGAGCAAUACCGCGUGAGGGAUGAAUGCCUAUGGGUUGUAAACCUCUUUUUUCAGGGAGGAAUAAAUGACGUGUACCUGAAGAAUAAGCAUCGGCUAACUCCGUGCCAGCAGCCGCGGUAAGACGGAGGAUGCAAGUGUUAUCCGGAAUCACUGGGCGUAAAGCGUCUGUAGGUGGCUUAAUAAGUCAACUGUUAAAUCUUGAAGCUCAACUUCAAAAUCGCAGUCGAAACUAUUAGACUAGAGUAUAGUAGAGGUAAAGGGAAUUUCCAGUGGAGCGGUGAAAUGCGUAGAGAUUGGAAAGAACACCGAUGGCGAAGGCACUUUACUGGGCUAUUACUGACACUCAGAGACGAAAGCUAGGGUAGCAAAUGGGAUUAGAUACCCGGGUAGUCC
rnacentral:rRNA from 1 species